rnacentral:rRNA from 1 species
UACGCAGGGUGCGAGCGUUGUCCGGAAUUAUUGGGCGUAAAGAGCUUGUAGGCGGUUUGUCGCGUCUGCUGUGAAAAUCCGGGGCUCAACCCCGGACUUGCAGUGGGUACGGGCAGACUAGAGUGUGGUAGGGGAGACUGGAAUUCCUGGUGUAGCGGUGAAAUGCGCAGAUAUCAGGAGGAACACCGAUGGCGAAGGCAGGUCUCUGGGCCACUACUGACGCUGAGAAGCGAAAGCAUGGGGAGCGAACAGGAUUAGA